AAAUGAAUCAAAACUUUCAACAACGGAUCUCUUGGCUCUGGCAUCGAUGAAGAACGCAGCGAAAUGCGAUAAGUAAUGUGAAUUGCAGAAUCCAGUGAAUCAUCGAAUCUUUGAACGCACAUUGCGCCCGCCAGCAUUCUGGCGGGCAUGCCUGUUCG
rnacentral:rRNA from 1 species